AUUGAACGCUGGCGGCAUGCCUUACACAUGCAAGUCGAACGGUAACGGGCCUUCGGGUGCCGACGAGUGGCGAACGGGUGAGUAAUGUAUCGGAACGUACCUUUCAGUGGGGGAUAACGUAGCGAAAGUUACGUUAAUACCGCAUAUUCUGUGAGCAGGAAAGCAGGGGAUCGCAAGACCUUGCGCUGAUUGAGCGGCCGAUAUCAGAUUAGCUAGUUGGUGAGGUAAAGGCCCACCAAGGCGACGAUCUGUAGCGGGUCUGAGAGGAUGAUCCGCCACACUGGAACUGAGACACGGUCCAGACUCCUACGGGAGGCAGCAGUGCGGAAUUUUGGACAAGGGGGGCAACCCGGAUCCAGCCAUGCCGCGGGAGUGAAGAGGGCCUUCGGGUUGUAAAGCUCUUUCGGCCGGGAAGAAAUCGUAGCAGCUAAUACCUAGUGCGGAUGAGGGUACCGGCAUAAGAAGCACCGGCUAACUACGUGCCAGCCGCCGCAGUAAGAC
rnacentral:rRNA from 1 species